UGCCGCCCUGAAGGGCGUAUGGUGGAUGCCUUGGCAGACAGUACCGAUGAAGGACGUUUGAGGAUGCGAUAAGCCUCGGGGAGCCUCCAACAUGGCUUCGAUCCGAGGAUUUCCGAAUGGGGCAACCCGCCGGCCGUCAUGGGCCGGCACGGAACCUUGUUGUUCCGGGGGUACGCAGGGAAGUGAAACAUCUCAGUACCUGCAGGAAGGGAUACUCCGUGAGUAGUGGCGAGCGAAAGCGGAUCAGACCAAACCAUGGGCGCGUGAUACCCGUCGGGGGUUGCGUUCGUGGUGUUGCGGGAGCGUGUGUCCCGGUUCCGACGGACCGGGCGGGAGUCAUAAAACGGCUUGCCAGGGGAACAGGCUUGAAGGCCUGGCCGCAGAGGGUGCCAGCCCCGUACCUGGAAGCUUGCCGUCUUCCGAUCAUGUGUCCCAAGUAGCGCGGGCCUCGUGGAAUCCCGUGUGAAUCGGCCCCGACCGUGGGGUAAGUCUAAGCAUACCUGUCUGACCGAUAGCGUACCAGUACCGUGAGGGAAAGGUGAAAAGCACCCCGGGAGGGGAGUGAAAGAGUUCCUGAAACCGUGCGCCUACAAUCCGUCGGAGCCUCCCUGGUGGGGUGACGGCGUGCCUAUCGAAAAAUGAGUCUGCGAGUCAGUGGUGCGUGGCGAGGCUAACCCGUGGUGGGGGAGCCGUAGCGAAGGCGAGUCUCAAAAGGCGUUUUGAGUCGCGCGCCCUGGACCCGAAGCGGGAUGAUCUAGCCCUGGGCAGGUUGAAGCGCGGGUAAGACCGCGUGGAGGACCGAACCCACCUGGGUUGAAAACCGGGGGGAUGACCUGGGGCUAGGGGUGAAAGGCCAAUCAAAUUCCGUGAUAGCUGGUUCUCUCCGAAAUGCAUUUAGGUGCAGCGUCGGUUGAUUGCAUCGCGGGGGUAGAGCUACUGGAUGCUUGCGGGCCCGUAUGGGGUACCAAUAGCAGCCAAACUCCGAAUACCGUGGAUGUGUAUUCCGGCAGUGAGUCGGCGGGGGAUAAGCUCCGUCGUCGAGAGGGAGACAGCCCAGAUCGUCGUCUAAGGUCCCGAAGCGUGUGCUAAGUGGGAAAGGAUGUGGAGUCGCAUAGACAGCCAGGAGGUUGGCUCAGAAGCAGCCAUCCUUGAAAGAGUGCGUAACAGCUCACUGGUCUAGUGGUUCCGCGCCGACAAUGUAGCGGGGCUCAAGCACACCACCGAAGACGCGGCAGCGGCCUUUGCGGCCGUUGGGUAGGAGAGCGUCCCGCGUGGGGCGAAGCGGCCGGGGAACCGUGCCGUGGACCGCGCGGGAGUGAGAAUGCAGACAUGAGUAGCGAGAGACGGGUGAGGAUCCCGUCCGCUGGAUGACCAAGGGUUCCGGGGCCACGUUCGUCGUCCCCGGGUGAGUCGGGUCCUAAGGCGAGGCCGACAGGCGUAGUCGAAUGGAUGAACGGGUGGAUAUUCCCGUACCGGCGGCGUACCGUAAGAGCCGAACGGAUGAGUACUAACCUCCGGUCGCGUGGCGUCGUUCCCUUCGGGGUUCGGGGCGCGUGGCCGUUGGGAGCGUAGUCCUGGUAGGCUAGCGCACAGGGGUGACACGGAAUGGGAGCCGGCCGCGGAGGUGGUUUUCCGUGGUCAAGCACGCAGCCCGUCCCAUAGGCAAAUCCGUGGGACGCAUAGGGUGAGGUGUGAUGAUGGGCGUCCUUUGGACGCGAUAUCCGGUGGUCCAGGCCGUCGAGAAAAGCCUCGGCGCGAGGGGCGUCGCCGCCCGUACCCCAAACCGACACUGGUGGUCAGGUAGAGAAUACCAAGGCGAUCGAGCGAAUCCUGGUCAAGGAACUCGGCAAAUCACUCCCGUGCCUUCGGUAUAAGGGAGACCCCCCGGGCGUGAAGAGGCUUGCCCUCGGAGCGUUGGGGGGUGGCACAGACCAGGGGGUAGCGACUGUUUACCAAAAACACAGGUGCAUGCGAAGGCGCAAGCCGCUGUAUAUGCACUGACGCCUGCCCGGUGCCGGAAGGUUAAGAGGAUCCGUCAGCCCCUUUUUGGGGUGAAGCGGUGAAUUCAAGCCCCGGUAAACGGCGGUGGUAACUAUAACCAUCCUAAGGUAGCGAAAUUCCUUGUCGGGUAAGUUCCGACCUGCACGAAUGGCGUAA
rnacentral:rRNA from 1 species